UAGUUGGAUUUCUGUUGAGGAUGGCCGGUCCAUACCACGUAUGCGCAUCUGGUUUUUCAUCCUCGGCAUCCUCUCGAAAUACGUUGCUGUGCUUGAUUGCAUGGUGCGGAGUUCGGGACUUUAACUUUGAGGAAAUUAGAGUGUUCACGGCAGGCUAUCGCCCGAAUACGUUAGCAUGGAAUAAUAGCAUCGGACCAUCGUCCAGCUGUUGGUGUCUGGGCGAAGGUAAAGGUGAAUAGGGAUUGUUGGGGGCAUUCGUAUUUAACUGUCAGAGGUGAAAUUCUUGGAUUUGUUGAAGACGGACCACUGCGAAAGCAUCUGCCAAAGAUGUUCUCACUGAUCAAGAACGAAAGUUAGGGGAUCGAAGACGAUCAGAUACCGUCGUAGUCUUAACCAUAAACCAUGCCGACUAGGGAUUCGACGAUGUUCACCUAUUGACUUGUUGAGCACCUUACGGGAAACUAAAGUCUUUGGGUUCCGGGGGGAGUAUGGUCGCAAGGGCUGAAACUUAAAGGAAUUGACGGAAGGGCACCACCAGGUGUGGAGC
rnacentral:rRNA from 1 species